rnacentral:rRNA from 1 species
AUGGCCGCCGGCGAGAGAAACGAGUCUUCGGCGGCGGUGGCGGCGCCAUUGCUGGCAGCAGCGAGGGAGAGGAAGCUCUGCAAGGAGGGGUGCCCAGGGUGCAGGCUGGACGAGAUCAACAAGAGCAAGACCGGCAUCCCCUACCUCAACUUUUUCUACGUGUGGGUCGUCUGUCUCUGCGCCGCUCUACCGAUCCAGUCACUGUUUCCCUAUCUAUACUUCAUGAUUAGGGACUUGGAAGUCGCAAAGCAAGAGCAAGACAUUGGGUUCUAUGCUGGUUUUGUUGGGGCUGCUUAUUUCCUUGGAAGAACCAUCAGUGCUGUGCCAUGGGGCAUUUUUGCUGACAAAUAUGGGAGGAAGCCCUGCAUUGUUAUCAGUAUCCUCUCAGUGAUCGUAUUUAACACCCUUUUCGGCCUUAGCACGACUUACUGGAUGGCAAUUGUAACUAGGGGGCUACUUGGGUUACUCUGUGGUAUAUUAGGACCAAUCAAGGCCUAUGCUUCAGAAGUCUGCAGAAAAGAGCACCAAGCACUAGGAAUUUCUCUUGUUACAUCUUCACGAGCAAUAGCUCUUGUUAUUGGACCAGCCAUUGGAGGAUUUCUUGCACAGCCUACAAAGAAGUACCCGAAUCUUUUCUCUGAGGAAUCCAUAUUUGGAAGGUUUCCAUACUUCCUCCCUUGCUUCGUCAUAUCGGUUCUAGCGGCAGGAGCAUGUCUUGCAUGCAUUUGGCUCCCGGAAACUCUGCACAAGUACCAUGAUGACAAAGUGGAAGCCAUUGAGGAAAUGGAGGCGCAAGUUGCUGAUUCGACCUCAGAAGACAGGAAAGCUAAACAAUCUGGAUCAGGCAGAAUGGCAUCCACAAAGAACCUGCUAAAGAACUGGCAGUUGAUGUCAGCAAUAACCCUCUAUUGUGUGUUUUCUCUCCAUGAUACAGCUUAUCUUGAGAUAUUUUCACUCUGGGCUGUGAGCAGCAGAAAAUACCGGGGACUGAGUUUUACAUCUCAGGAGGUUGGUACUGUGCUAGCUAUCUCAGGUUUUGGUGUUUUGGUAUAUCAACUUCUGAUUUACCCGCUCCUUGCCAAGUAUGCUGGGCUAGUCAAGCCAUUCCGUUCUGCAGCGGUAUUAUCUAUACUUCUCCUUGCAACAUAUCCAUUCAUGGCUAACCUAUAUGGUGUGGAGCUCAAAGUACUCAUCAACAUAGCCUCGCUUCUUAAGAAUAUGUUUGCGGCUACGAUUACUAUUGCCUGCAACAUUCUGCAGAACACAGCGGUGGGACAAGAACAAAGGGGUGUCGCAAAUGGUAUAUCUGUGACUCUGAUGUCAAUCUUCAAAGCAGUAGCCCCAGCAGCAGCAGGAAUUCUGUUUUCAUGGGCUCAGAAGAACAUAACUGGAUUGUUCAUACCAGGUGAUCAGAUCCUGUUCUGGAUGCUGAACAUGGUGUCGGUAAUCGGGCUCUCGCUGACGUUCAAGCCAUUUUUCUCUAUGCCGAGUGCGCUGAAAUGA